UACGUAGGGUGCGAGCGUUGUCCGGAAUUAUUGGGAGUAAAGAGGUCGUAGGCGGUUUGUUGAGUAGGUCGUGAAAACUUGGGGCUUAACCCCAAGCCUGCGGUCGAUACGGGCAGACUUGAGUUCGGCAGGGGAGACUGGAAUUCCUGGUGUAGCGGUGAAAUGCGCAGAUAUCAGGAGGAACACCGGUGGCGAAGGCGGGUCUCUGGGCCGAUACUGACGCUGAGGAGCGAAAGCGUGGGGAGCGAACAGG
rnacentral:rRNA from 1 species